UACGUAGGGGGCAAGCGUUGUCCGGAUUUAUUGGGCGUAAAGCGCGUGUAGGUGGCCAAGUAAGUCCGCUGUGAAAACUUGAGGCUCAACCUCAAGCUGUCGGUGGAAACCCCUUGGCUAGAGUCCGGAAGAGGAGAGUGGAAUUCCUGGUGUAGCGGUGAAAUGCGCAGAUAUCAGGAAGAACACCAAUGGCGAAGGCAGCUCUCUGGGACGGUACUGACACUGAGACGCGAAAGCGUGGGGAGCGAACAGG
rnacentral:rRNA from 1 species